AUGAACGCUGGCGGCGUGCCUAAUACAUGCAAGUCGAGCGAACAGAUAAGGAGCUUGCUCCUUUGACGUUAGCGGCGGACGGGUGAGUAACACGUGGGUAACCUACCUAUAAGACUGGGAUAACUUCGGGAAACCGGAGCUAAUACCGGAUAAUAUUUCGAACCGCAUGGUUCGAUAAUGAAAGAUGGUUUUGCUAUCACUUAUAGAUGGACCCGCGCCGUAUUAGCUAGUUGGUAAGGUAACGGCUUACCAAGGCGACGAUACGUAGCCGACCUGAGAGGGUGAUCGGCCACACUGGAACUGAGACACGGUCCAGACUCCUACGGGAGGCAGCAGUAGGGAAUCUUCCGCAAUGGGCGAAAGCCUGACGGAGCAACGCCGCGUGAGUGAUGAAGGUCUUCGGAUCGUAAAACUCUGUUAUUAGGGAAGAACAUACGUGUAAGUAACUGUGCACGUCUUGACGGUACCUAAUCAGAAAGCCACGGCUAACUACGUG
rnacentral:rRNA from 1 species